GUGCGGGGGCCUCGGGCGGCGCCGCUCGUCGGGAGAGAGACGGAACGCACGGGGUACCGGGCUCGGAACGCACGGGGCACCGGGCUCGGAACGCACGGGGCACCGGGCACGGAACACACCGGGCACCGGGCACGGAACGCACGGGGCACCGGGCUCGGAACGCACGGGGCACCGGGCACGGAACGCAGCCGGCACGGAGCUCACUGGGCACCAGGCACGGAUUUCACCGGGCACCGGGCCGCCCCGGCGCGGUUAAAACUUACAGGGAAUGCUAGCCUGUCCUGCUGGCCCUUCAGAACCUGCAGGAUUUCCAAUUACACUGGCAGCCUGAAAUUUGUGAUGGAUUAAAAUGCAUGGCAGCAAGUUGGGGAAUGGCCACUGAGAGAACUUGGACCAGAAGAUCUGGGGGAAGUACCAAUGUGCUAAUAUUUAUAGGAUGAAAAUGACAUGUCUUGUGGAAUUGUUCAAUUUGACAGUAUCAGCCCUGGACAGAAUAAUGGAAGGGUUGGCCACACAUUAUCAGAGGGAAUGCUGACUGCCAUUAACUCUACAGCCAAUGUAUCUUUCCAAGAAAUGUAAUUUAUGCCUGUUUGGAAUACCACCAGUGGAGGACACACUCAAGCUCCACAUCAAGGGAUGCUGAGCUCCACCUGCCUUCCUUUUGCUCAGUGGGAGCACUCUUCAUCUGCUCACCUACCACAGAGCUCCUGGGCUACCUGCUGCUUUCCCUAUUUUAAGGACACAUUACCAAAUGUAUCUGUUGCAUUUACAUUCAGUGAUUCUCUUAAUUUUAUGAAUAAACAUGGAUUAUACUCAUAGCAUGGUACUCCUGAUAAACUGAGACUGCAAGUGCUGCUGUGUUGCAGGUAUAUCUGUGCUGUUCAGAGACCUUGAAACACUGGAUCAAUUUACUUUUUCUCUCUGAUGCCUUAAGUUUUAAAUUUCAUAUUUUCCAGAUUCUGUACUGCCUUAGUGUAUUACUCUGAACUUCAUAUAAAGUGUCAGCAAGCUCCCCUCACAGCUCAGUCACACAAAACAAUCAUUUUCCAGCCCCAAAACCAAGGACACUGGUGCAGCUUCAGCCCCAAAAAGUGCAAACAACAGGGAAUUGAGGAGAGCAACCUGGAAGGAUGGGACCUCAUAACCUGGAGCUGUAACUGGACAAUGAACCCCAAUAUGGAAAUGGACCAAAACCUAUAAAAGUGUGAGAACUCAUGACCCAGGGUCCAUCUUGGGUGUAGCCACAGCCAGGCUCUUGUACUGCCCAAAGGUGUAUUCUUUAAAGGCCUUUUAAUAAAUGCCUGCUUUAUUCCUUUCACUCUCUCCAGCCUCUGUUCUACAUCUGCCUCUCUAGGCAUCAUCUGUACAGGCCAAACUGCAGUUUGAGUUAUUGCACAGUGUGAAUUUUCUCAAAGAGUUACUGAGCAAGACAGAAGCCUUUAACUUCCACUGAGGGAAGCUGAAGUUCUGGAAGUAACCUUUACGCCUGUAUUUAGGGACCUGGUGUUUGGGGUGCUGUUCCUGCAGCUGCUUUGAUCAGCAGAUUCAAGCCUCUCAGAGCUCCAUUUGUAUUUAAGCAAUAAAGACCCUGCCUUGUUCUUCUCUCCCAAUGCACACGUUACUCACUGACUGUUUCACAGUUUCUUUGAUGACUUGAAAGCUUUCAAAAAUCUGGCUCUUCCAUUGUUUCGUCGUCACCUCUGUCUCAGUUCCCUGUCUGUAAAAUGGGAAGUUCUGCAACAUCUUCUCACAGUUUCAUCCUGCUGUUAUUUCUGCUUCCAGGAUCUCCUAACCUGGCACAGACAUCUACUCAGUCUCCAGGGAGUAUCUGGUCUAUGAGUUUGGCCUUACAGCAUCUGAGCCACGAUGUCAUCACUUUGGGGCCCCACACAUGGAUGGCAAGAGAGGAAACAGUAUAAAUUGUGCUGGCCCCUGCUUUCUUGUGGUGAGAUCUGCAGUUGCCAGAAACUUCCAGCCUUUGUUCUGGGCUGGGAAUGGGUUUCAUAAUGGGGAGGAAGGCACUUUCUAUUCUGAGAGGAGAAAGCAGCAUCAAGGAAGGUUUUAAUUUUCUGCCACCAGUGCAGAGCAGACAGUUUGCUGGCAGCUGCAAGGCUUGAUAAACAGUGCAGUCCUGAUCCAGUCUGUCACAUGGAGGGGGACUGCAGCAAUGGAGCAUGUUCUUAUCCUGUGGGAAGGGGUUCUUGCUGGAGUGAUGCCUAAAGGUUUUUGUUUUUUAUACAUUUUUCAUAAAUUUUUAGCUUUAUGGACUGUUAACACAUAGUUAUAAUUUCUAGUACUUUUUCUGCCCUCUCCCAUAGUUUAACAAACCCUUAGGAAGACAUUCUUGAAAUUCCGUUUAGUCUCAAUGUUUAUGCCUUCCCCUGCAAUCAGGCACUUUGCCUCUGGUACAGUCGCGCACCCUGAGGUCCUACCAUGAAAAUUGUCUGGUUAGUAUUUUUCAAAUGCUUUGAGGGAGGGUUCUUGUUUAUAUGCCGUUCUUACUUUUUUUAUUCCUCCCAUCUUGCUGAUGCUAGUUUUCCAUCUUGUUACCCUUAUCUGUUGUUAGUGGUUCCCAUUGCAUUUGCUAGCUCCUUUCUCUGCCUUGUUUUUGUUUUCCCAUGGUAAGUAUAAAUUUAAAUUCUGCAUCCAUUUGCAAGAGCUGCUGCUUCCUUCUGUCCCCCUUAAUUUGAUUAAUAUUUCUUUCCAUCUUUUCUGCUUAUUCAACUGGUCAUUUUGCUGAUUUUAAUAUCACCUUGCUUUUUCCUGCUGUUUCUGAAAUGUGCGUUGUAAGGAAUGGAUCUGUCUCUGGCACCUUCAUGGUCUCCCUGUCUAUGUGCUGAGCCCUUUAGCAGCUUCAAUGCUUCUAUUUGACAUUUUUCAGGUCUAAAUUGAUAACUUAUGUUGUUUGAACUGAGUCAGGUGCCAGGGGAGUGCUGCAUUGCUGCAUUUCCAUUGCUGCCUUUCCCUCUGCUCUGCUUCCUUUCAGCUUCUCUUCGGAGCAGUGCUGUGUUCAGCUUUUUGGUGUUACUGUCACCAGAUCCACCCUGCCAGGCUUUCUUUUUUCAGUUCCUGGCUCUUUCUCUUUUUCUGCUCAGACAUGGCUCACACUUCUCCACUGAUUAAUUCUCUUCAUGCUCUGAUGUUCUCUACCCUUGAUUAAUUUUCUCCGUCUCUUCCAUUAAAAUCUAAACCCCAAAAAUCCUCAGCCUUUAAAGACUUCUAGGAUCUCCUUCACCUCUUGCACUGGUUCCUCCCACUUUCACUUUGCCAUCUUCCUAAUUUAAAAUGGGAAGGUUCAAAGUUUGGCUUAUUUCCUUGUCCUUUGUUUCAGGUGGAUUUGACCUGUUUUAGCUCAUUCCUCAAACUCCUUCCUCCUCCUGUGCUCAGUUGUUUCUUUGUAAGAGCUCUCUGCUUCCUUCCCCAGGAUAAGAACAGGAAAUAACCUCUUCUUUCUCUGCUUCGUUUCAUUUUUUUCUUUCUUCUCCCCAUCAUUAAUGCAGAAAUUUCUUACCUGUUUUGUUAUUGAAAUCUCAAGUAACACACUCCAAGGACUUCAAGGCGCAGAAUUUCAAAGAAUUUAUGUGACUAAUUAUUUGCUCUAGAAGGGAAGAUGAAGUUUGUAGGUGAUGUUUGUACAACAAGUAGUGACUUUGCAGCAUGAUGGGCUCUGUAUCUCAGUCUCCAAGGCUACAGGCUACAGCAAGAAUGAAUAUAAAACCUGUGAUGCACAAAAUCACUCAGGCACAAAGUAAGUGCUGUGAGAUGUGUUAAUUUUCUGUAAACAACACUUAACCCUUAUGUUUUGCUUCUUCAUUUGAGCAAUAAUCAAUUGUGCAAAUAAAACAAAGAUCUGCAGUAGUGUGUAAUACAGGUGAAGGAUGAUGUUUCUCACAAUCACGGAGUUCUAAAAGCUGCAUAUUGUUCAUAGUGUCCCAUGGCUGUGAGAGAGGCUGCUGAAGCCACUGCAGGUCCCAGGGCUCCUUAGGUGGGUGAUGUUGGAGAUGUAGCCUUUCUAAGUGCAGACCUGGACACGGGGUGGAACAGACCUGGGAAGGUGCUAAAAGUCCUUCACCUUUGACAGUAAUGAAACCAGAAGAUAUUUUUCUAUAUUAGAAUAGAAUAGUUCCACUUGAAAGGGACGUGCAAGGAUCAUCUAAUCCAAUUGCUCAACUGCUUCAGGGCUGACCAAAAGGUAAAGCUUUAAGGCAUUAAGGGCAAUGUUCAAAUGCCUCCUAAACAGCCACAGGCCUGGGGCAUUGACCAUCUCUCUAGAAAGUCUGUUACAUUGUUUCACCAGCUGUUCUGUUAAAGAAAUGCUUCCUAAUGCCAUCUGAACCUCCCUGCUCAGAUUAAAAAACCACACAGAUUUUUCUGAUUCCUCUGCUGUUGUGCUCCCUGUUCACAUGAUCUUACUUUGAACACUUUUUUGAGUUUUUCAGAUCCAGGAUGAAUGAAGAAUGUUCAGUUGCUUAAGAUCAUAUUUUGCCUUCAUUAAGGAACCACAGAACCUGGAAUGGGACAACCACCAGUACCAGUGGAGGCUGGGGAUGGAGAUAUUGAGAGCAGUCCUGCCAAGACUGGGGAUAUGAGUGGAUGGAACACUGACUGUGAGCCAGCUGUGUGUGCUGGCAGCCCAGAAAAUCCAUUGGUUCUGGGGCCAGCUCCAGGGAGCUGAUUCUUCUCUCUCUGCCCAGGUGGGACUGCCUCCAGCUCUGGGGACCAGCAGGAAGGAUGGGGAGCUGCUGGUGGGAGCCCAGAGGAGGCCAUGGAGAUGGUCCCAAGGCUGGAGCCCCUCUGCUCUGGGGACAGCCUGGGAGAGCUGGGGGAGCUCAGCCAGGAGAGGAGGGGGCUCCCAGGACACCUUGUUACAGCUUUUCUAUACUUAAAAGGAGCUUAUGAGAACAACAAAGGUACUUUUUAACCAAGGCCUGUAGUGACAGGACAUGGAAUAAUGGUUUUAACCUAAAAUAGGAUAGAUUUUGGCAUAGCAGAGAUGUGAUCACAUAAUUAAGGUUGGGGUUUUUUUGUUUGCAAUCCAUGAUAAUGUAACACUGAAUAUUCUUAUCCUUGAAAAACUCUAAUCCUUGAAUCUUCUUGACUCUUCUGUUUAAUUAUGUCUUGUAAUCAUAAGAUCUACAGUCUAAACACACAUAUAACUGUGGGUUUUAUCUUCAGAAUUUAAAUGACUCAGUGAUGCAGUUGCUAGCAGUCACAAAUCCCAAACCGACAGAAAGAGUACUGUGAAUUGGACUGUCAUCUUGUAAAACACAUGCCAUAGAACUUCACUGAAUUAUCUUUUCCUUUAUUUAAUAACAUAUAUCAGGAAAAGAAAACCCUACCCCACAAACAAAACCCACCAAAACAUAAACAAAAAAUUAAAACAAAAAGAAACCCAAAGCAAAGCCCUUGACAAGCGUGUUUUCACUGAGAAGUUACCAGUCACUAGAAAUGUACAAUAUCGUUAGUUAAAUUGCUCAUAUUGUUAAUUACUUAGGCUGUUAAAUUAUGUAUCCUGCUUUUGAUAUGAAUUGCUCUGUUUUAUAAGAUUGCAUCCAGGAGAGUUUUGCAUUCUGUUACAUUCAAUCUAAAAGACCAGUAAUUGUUCAAAACACUUUUUAAGAAAUCUUCCCUAAAUAUAUCUACUGCAUUGGAUAUGUACCAAAUAUUUCACCUCUAAUAUGGUAGAAUUGAUUAAAAAUUGCAUCCAUUA
rnacentral:lncRNA from 1 species